UACGUAGGGGGCGAGCGUUGUCCGGAUUUAUUGGGCGUAAAGAGCGCGUAGGCGGCCCGGAAAGUCGGAUGUGAAAACCCGGGGCUCAACCCCGGGCCUGCAUCCGAUACUCCCGGGCUGGAGGCAGGUAGGGGAGAUCGGAAUUCCUGGUGUAGCGGUGAAAUGCGCAGAUAUCAGGAGGAACACCGGUGGCGAAGGCGGAUCUCUGGGCCUGUCCUGACGCUGAGGCGCGAAAGCUAGGGGAGCGAACAGG
rnacentral:rRNA from 1 species